rnacentral:rRNA from 1 species
UGGGGAAUAUUGCGCAAUGGGGGAAACCCUGACGCAGCAAUACCGCGUGAGUGAAGAAGGUUUUCGGAUCGUAAAGCUCUGUUAUUGGGGAAGAAGAAUGACGGUACCCAAUGAGGAAGUCCCGGCUAACUACGUGCCAGCAGCCGCGGUAAUACGUAGGGGACAAGCGUUGUCCGGAAUGACUGGGCGUAAAGGGCGCGUAGGCGGUCUAAUAAGUCUGAUGUGAAAGGUAACGGCUCAACCGUUAACGUGCAUUGGAAACUGUUAGACUUGAGUAUUGGAGAGGCAAGUGGAAUUCCUAGUGUAGCGGUGAAAUGCGUAGAUAUUAGGAGGAACACCAGUGGCGAAGGCGGCUUGCUGGACAAAUACUGACGCUGAGGUGCGAAAGCGUGGGGAGCAAACA